rnacentral:rRNA from 1 species
CGCGGUAAUACGUAGGUGGCAAGCGUGGUCCGGAUUUAUUGGGUUUAAAGGGUGCGUAGGCGGCCUGGUAAGUCAGGGGUGAAAGACGGUGGCUCAACCAUCGCAGUGCCUUUGAUACUGCCGGGCUUGAAUGUACGUGAGGUAGGCGGAAUGUGGCAAGUAGCGGUGAAAUGCAUAGAUAUGCCACAGAACACCGAUUGCGAAGGCAGCUUACCAAGGUACGAUUGACGCUGAGGCACGAAAGCGUGGGGAUCAAACAGG